CAAGGAGGAGGGCCUGCUGCUUUGGCACCGAGUCUAGUCUGAGAUAAUUGUUCCAUCUUCUUGAAAUUAAGCCCUUUCCGUGCGAUCGAAUUACAAUUCAGAGGUAGAUGAAAACGCUAACCCCCUGUCCAGUCGUCCAUCUGCCUGGGUCCUGAGUGCGCAUGAGAUCCUGGGCUGUCACACGCAUGACUGCCAUCAGGCGGCAGGCGUGCCUUCACGACAGCGUCUUUAACGGCACUGAGCAAAUCAAGGGCAAAUAAAAGUGGGUCAGCAAAGAACAUGACAGUGCAGUAAAGGAAACUUCCAUGGCGUGCGGUACACCCAAAGCUAAGUCUCAGCUUCACAGGGGUCUAACUCCACUGCAUUCGGAGUCAAAGGACCUGUAUCGAAGGCGCGGUUCCUUACCAGCUGUGCAGCACUCAGAGUCCAGAUGGGCUGGGUUCUGUGUGCAAGCUGCAGCAGGGCCACGAGCACCACGCCUCCAAGGGCGGAGAAGAACACAGUUGCCAGCCCG